CUUUUUCUCCAUAUAGGGUAGAGACUGCUUUCUUUUAAGACAUAUUUAUUAAGGAGCUGAUUUUAAAGAAUAUUAAGUUAAUGCAGAAACUGUGUGGCUAUGGUAAAAAUUAAAAGUGGUAUGUAAAGGUCCAGUUUUGCAGUCUCUGGAGAAAUGUGUAGUGCCUCAGUAGAGGGCCAUGUGCUAUUCAGGUGCUGGGGAGACAGGUGUGGAACACGUUAGGUCCUUACCCCCCUCAUCUCCCCGAUUCCCAUAUCCUGAGUGAGCGUCCAGGCCACCCUUAUGCCCUUUGCAUGCCACCCCCAUCUUGUUGCCGAUCAUGGGAACUAGCCCUUGGAUCCCCAUGUUGUCACUACUCUCCUCAGUUGGGUGACCAACCAUCCUGAGGGGGUUCCCAGGGCAUGGGACUUUCAGUUUUAAAACCAGGACAGUGUCAGGCAAACAGAAACAAAUUGGUUCUAAUGGCGGGUGAGGGGAGGCCUAGCCCAAUCCUGAAGCAAUGCUACCCUCCACUUUUACUUCACACUACCUCAGUAGCUGCUGGACCAGGUGAGUCAACCCCUUUCCCCCACCCCCACAGAUUGGCAUCCUUCCAAAUUCUAAUUUCAGUUAGCACCACCUGCAGUCGUUUAUAGCCUUCUCCCACUCCCACAAGAGCUAUUUCACACUUCCUCUGUCCUCCCCAACAGCCCUCUUCCCAUCACCACCUUCUAUCUCCAAGAAGCCUUGGCCACCCAGGGAGCCUGGAGGACAGCAAGCAAUGAUCAUGAAGCCACUCCCACCUGCCUGACCACUUCUCACGUUUCACUUUAAAAUGCCUGCUCAGGGACCCAUGUCUAUCUGGUCACCGCCUAUCCACAGCACCUAGAACAGUGCCUGGCACUUGAUAGAUGUUCCAGAAAUACAAAUAUUUUGAAUAAAUGGACUUUCUGAUACUGCCCGUGUACAGACCUGGUGCCAGCACCACGGGUAUAGAGGGGAAAAGUGGACUUCAUCAAGGAUGUCAUUCUUGGGAAAGAGAAUCGGAGGCAAGGAAGAGGACUCCCACCUCAAAAGCCACCCUGGAAGAGAUCUCACCAGAGAAAACAGAGGGAUGUCUCCAAGACUCCAACAGCGGGGCCUCUGGUGCCUCUUUGGUGCUCUCUCACUUUACAUUUAAGACUCUCAAGCGAGAAAAGAGGAAGGGAAAGGGAUGAGAGGAUGGAAGGGGGGUUUCCACCCCUAAGGCAGAGAUUGAAUUAAAACCUCAAAGAGAAAAUUGAACAGCACCCCAUCUCUCCCCCCCAUGUAGCAAGUCUUCACCCCAGGAAAAGCAUUGGCUCCGCAAAGCCAUUUUGCCCACUGCCUCCUGUAAGCAUCCUCAAAACACUGUUUUGGGCUUGUCAUAGUGGGGAGACCUUGAAGGGAUCACUAAGACCCAGAGAGGGGAAUGACAAAGCCAAGACCUCCCAGCAGGAGGCUGGAGAAGCAGGACUCACAGACAGGUCUCCUGUGCCCAGACCAUGCAGUUUCUGCUGCCCUUUCCCAGUAUCCUUACGUUGUCUUCCUUGGGCUCUUGCUAUAAUGAAUGCACGUUCUGUAGCGAAAGUGGCAGAGAGAGAUCCUGCAGGGAUUGGUAAUUUUUCACGAUGGGUGGCAUUGAGGCUUCCCUGUUCCCUGGAGGAGGGAAAUGAAGGGUUGAUUAAGUGCUCGAAACAUCCCUGCCUGUGGACCAUUUAAUAAGUGCCUCGUCCAUCUCUCCGGCAUUAAAACCGACAUUUGGUUUGCUAAUCCAAUUUGGCAAGCUCUCCAAGGCUGUGGGAGCUGGCUGCUGGGCGCCAUUUUGUUUGAUGUGCUAGAUCAACGCAAGCUCCCACGCUCGCUCUCGCUGCCGCUUGAUUAAUUACAAACGAGACCUUUCGCUUUACAUUAAUGUGCCAGUACGGACAGAGCAACCCUCAGUGGCUCCAGCAGCUCUGAGAAUCUGGUGAUGACCCAGCCAGUCACCUGAUUCUCUCAGCCUAAUUCCCAGAUCUAAAUAAAGGAGGAGAAAGGAGUGGGGUCUGCA
rnacentral:lncRNA from 1 species